GCAGCGACUUUCCUCUUUGGAUAGUUCGGCGGCCUCACACACUUGCACUGCCUUCGCCAAACUGAGGUCGUCGGUCCGCAGCAGACGGUCUCGGACGGUGUUGCUCGCUAUUUCACACACUAUCCGAUCCUUGAUCAAGCUAUCAGUUAGAUCACCAAAGUCACAAUUUUGACUUAGCAACCGCAACGCCGUCACAAAUUGAUCAGUUGUUUCACCUUGCUCUUGAUUGCGUGAGAAAAACUUAAACCUUGACAUUGUGAUAUUAAGUUUGGUACCAAAGUGCGCAUCAAAUUUUGUCAAGAGACAUUUAAGGUUAUGAUCACUUUCAUCCUUGAGAUAUGUGAAUGUACUAUAAAGAUCUCGUAGCCACUCGGACCGAUGGGGAUAUCGAACAAACUCGCCUGAAUCUCUUCAGACUCCUUGCUCACCCCGGAUGCUAUGAGAAACACCUCGAACUGUUUCCGCCAUUUUCGCCACGCGUCGGCGCGCGCGGCUGGACCACCUUCGACCGCUAAUUCACCAGGAGGACGCGCGUGUUCCAUUAUUAUUAUCACAAACGGUUUUAAUGAUCACGUAAUAGACACUGAGAUCAAAAUACGCGGUGAUGUCUCAGAUAUUUAAUAAAAUUUAAGCACCGCUGUCACCAUGUUGUGAAACACACGCUAGUUGGUUUAACACUGAUUUAUUUUCAAAUUACCCUCCAUAAGUACAUAAUAAUACCACAGGUUCCAGAACGUGAGCUGAGAAACGAUUUCAUAGCUAAAACGCCAUGUUCCAAAAUGAACUCAGGAGAUAUCCAGUGCGCAGUGAAGCUCAAAAAGCUCAAUAUAUCAGAUGUCACUGAUACUGCUGUUGCCUGCGAAAUACUGGCUUCUAUUUGAGACCAAAUUCUGUUGUAUAUGUCAGGAAUAACUUUCUCGGUCAUGAAAGUGCGACCAGGUACUCUAUAAUGGGGCACAGCGGUUCCACAAGUGAUAAUGGUUCGUUUUCUAAAGCAAUCAUUUCACCAAUCAAGUAAUGAUAUUUUAUAGAUUUCGGAUCAUUAAUGUCCCACAACAAUUUCCUCUCUGAUGUUUCUUUCAGGGUUAGCUGUCGUUCUCUUGAUCUGGACGUUCACGAUUUCUAUCUUACCAAUGCGAUCGGAGUCAAAUUGACUUUCAAUUCCUUCUACAGACAACAAUAUCAUGUUUUUGAUUUUUUCCUCAAUAGGGGUAAGAGGAGGAGCAGCACUAGGGCCCACCUCCUGUACGAUAGGUUUCAGCAUGUAUCAAAGCAGACUUUUGUCUUGUAGCCAUCUUUAAGCCUUCGUAUUUAGCUUUUAAAGUUUUAACGCUGCGAAACUUUAGCCCACUUGUGCUAUUAAACAGCGCCUCCAGCGUCUUCCAGCACUGCUCUUUCUCCUGCCAGGUGGCUAAGUCAAUCUUUUUAUUUUCCAAUACAUUUUUAUGUUCAGCAACAAGCGAAGUUAGAAGCUCAACUUAUUCCCGGCUGAAAUUGGCCCUUCUUUCACGUUUUUGCGUCGAAAUUUUUUUAAGUUAUAGAAUCAACCACUUUCGAAUCCCAAAAACAACACACACAAUAUUAAUACUCGAUACCGAACUAAAAUACGAAAAUACUCAAUAACCUAACAUACAAAAAUACCAUGUGUGUUAUGUUUUAAUUUAGCUGAGCAGAAAAAAAGUAACAAGAAUAACAAACUUUAUCUUUUAUAUUCUUUCCACCAAAGGCGUCUUUAACAUUAGACGGUCGCAGAAAAAUAUUACAAAAGACAAUUUAAAUUAUAUCUUUACAUCGUGGAUAUUGGACACCUCAGAUAUUUUUUUAUUUUAGAUACUGUAGAGAUUUGUUAACAUUUUCUUUAUAAUCCCUUACAUUACAUUUGUUUUCUUGCUUCUCGUGUUAUAUGUCUGUAAGUACUUGAUGUUCAGCCAACCAUAACCAUGAUUGUUCAAGUAAUGUGAGUAGGUACAUUAUGACCAACGUUCAAAUCAAUAACCUUAUGUUGUGGUUGCGUUGGUAAUAUAUUAACAACAAAUCCACAAUUUAUACAAACUGUUCGUAAAAUAAAAUGCACCGUGUCCCAAGGCCCAAACAAAUCAUUAUUUAACAAUCAUUGUUAAAAAUCUGAUCUAGUUAGAAAACCAUAUACGUCUAAAAAAAUAACCAUCUUGGGUUCACUUGAACGUAUACUAACAGUAAGUAAAUACUAAGACAACUGAGUACUGUCUGUUUAGUCGAAUAUUUCGAUUGUGCCUACUUUUAAAAGUUUACGCAUCGGAUUACAUUGUAUGGGUUAAAAAGUAAUCAAAUGCGCAGUCAGACCUAAAAAAGUUGUCAAGAGCGGGAUUGGGUUCCGAAGAUGAUGAUUACGAUGAUCACAAUAUCAAGCCAAAAACGUAUAAAAACAAUUAUUUACCUUUCUUAUUAUGUACUUAUGUAUUACUACGAGUAUAAGGUACUUAUGUCAUGUCAACAUGGCACUUUAUAAUCACAGUAAGUAAAAUUAUAAACCUCCAAAUUAAGUCUUGUAAUAAUUUUUUAGUUCUACCUUACAUAUAACAAUAAUCAGCCUUGCAAUGAGUUUCUUUAUCAAUGAAUUUACAAAGUUGAUGCAAACAAAAGAAAUAGUAUCUCCUGUGAUACAUCCCUCAUGUGCCCACAUCUUAUAUACAAUACAUUCUACCCAAUCACAUUUUGAAUGACUGUACGCUUCAUCGCAAACAAGACAAUGCCAAUCUUCCGAUUCUGAAUCUGAACUUAGACUCCUUUUUUCCAUUUUUAUUUUUCGCAGAUUUUUUAACUUUUCCUUUCCCCUUUCGCUUUUCUUUAUCAUCUUUUUUGCUUUUUCUUAAUAUUUUAGGCGUCUCUGUCAGAACAGCAGACUACUUUUUUCGUUUGCAAUUUGUAUUUGUUUUUCGUGGUGGCGCGUUUGGUCUAAUCAUCGAUGGGGAAAAACUUGGAGUUGGUUUGUUCGCAGUUUCAAUGUGGCGUAAAAUUUCUGUUGAUUGAUUCUUGAUUCUGUGCUUUAGGACUUCCUAAUUCUGGGUGUCGUUUGAGAAGUAACCUCAACCAUUUAUUUCAUGAUGUCUUAUUUUCUUAAUUCGUUUGCUAUAUGCUGGCCAUAACUGAAAUAUGAAUCAUCAGCUUGUGACGUUUCAGUUAAAAUUUUAAACGCUUCUGUCAACAUUUUAUCGUCCUCUUCUUCGUGUUUCCUUUUCUUUGAGGUCUUCUUUGUAAUUUUUUCCGGUGCUUUUUGAAUAGUAUCAUUCAAUUGUUCUUGUGUAUUACACUCUUGUGAAGAUUUUUCGGAAGACUUGCCUUCAUUUUGUGAUGUAGAGUCCUGAAAUAUAAACAUGCAUUUAAUUAACUUUGUAUUUUAUAAUUAUACAGAUACCCACAUCCGAGAAAGACUGGUUGGAGAUUGCUUAAGAAUUUCAAGAAAAAUAGGAUUUUCCUCAUGCUGUAGGUGCCAUGGAUGGAAAACACGUAAUGAUACAAGCACCUGGUAACAGCGGCACGGAAUAUUAUAACUACAAACACUUUUUUAGUAUCGUACUGUUUGCUCUCGUAGAAGCUGACUAGAUACGUUGACAUUGUUUCCCAGGGUAGACUUUUGGACGGAGGGAUCUUUAAACGCACUACAUUAUACAAAAGACUCGAAGAAAAGUCCAUGAAAAUACCUCGGCCAUCGAUACUUCAAAUACCAUACACCCUAACAGUUCCAUACGUUAAUCUGGCAGACAAAGCAUUUGCACUAAACGAAUACACAAUGAUACCGUUUCAAGGGGAGCCAGAGAGUGGAUCUGUAGAAAGAAUAUUUAACUAUCGUCUGUCAAGAGGGCGUAGAGUAGUGGAAAAUGAUUUUGGAAUAGCAAGCUCGGUUUUUAGGGUUUUAAGGAAACCUAUGUUACUAUCACCCAAUAAAGCUACAAAAGUAUGUAAGCUGUUAUACACUUGCACAAUAUUUUGCGAAAGAGGUGAAACACACAUAGAAACAGAAACUGGAAUCACACCAGGUAGUUGGAGAAAUGACGAUGAACAUUCAUCAUUACUCCCUCUCACUGAUGUACCACGUACAGCUGGGAAUGACGCAAAAAAAUACGUUUACAUCUCGCUCAACAUUUUGCAACUAACGGAGCAAUCCCUUGGCAAAAUAGAUAUUGAAAUUAGUAACAUUAUUCACCUGCGUAGCACCUGUUGUAUCAUUAGACGUAUUAUUCCCAUUGUCUUGCACAGUAUCUAUUGUAAAAUUUGGUGUACAUUUGUCUUGCAUAAAAUUGAAGUCGUCAUAACCAAACCAUUUUGAUACGUAAAUACUGUCCUGACCUGUGAACAAUCAACCAAUAAAAUAUUAACAAAUUAACUGGAAAAAGAGUGUGUGACCGCGGCGCCAUGAACAUUGGCUGUCCAGUGUAGUUGAUUGGGAGCUCAUUAAAACAUCCAUCAGUCUUCCGUGAAGAGACAUAAACAGGCCUGCAUUUCACUAGAUGCACUUGCUCUCCCAUGACUAUGGCUGAAUAUCCUGGUUCUUGUUUGUAUGUAUAAGCGAACUCCACUGGGUCUAUGGUAGCCAACGACAAUUGGGUUUGUAGUAGAGCUCUACGCGUCUUACACUGCUCUUUUACCAGUGUUUCGUACAUUGUACUAAUCUCGUGCCGCAUAUGAUUCUCAAUGUGUGUGAAUUUCGCAUUAACAUACAAGAACACGUCCAUGUUGUUGGCUGUCAAUUUACUCUGCUCGAAGUAGAAUAAUCCAUUCUUCACUUCCUGGAUCAAGAGCUUAGGAUGGUCAGUCACUAUCACAGUUAUCCCGCAAAUCACUUUUGUUCCCUUUUCCAAUAGGGUAGCUAAGAACUUACCGUCUUUCACUGAAUACAUCGUGUAUGCAUCUUGUUGGUUGUCGGUUGACUUGAUCGUGAUUUUAGUAACUCGACCUCUAUAUAAAACUAAGUAAGAGUCUCUGGAGCACUGUUCAUUUGACAAGAUAUCCCAUGUGACUAGUCCUUCAUAUGUGUCCAUACAGAAACUAUUGCUGUAUUUACAAGACAGUCCUGUUUUAGAGAUCACCAUGUCAUCUGAGAUGCGGUAAGUUCCUAGAGCAUCACUUAACUUGAUAGUUACUUUGGCGACACCAACCACAUUAGACCAAUGAUGCGGCCCAAGAUUUAGUUCACCACCUGUACAUUUUCCAUCAGCAUUGAUCCAGCCUGCUAAGUUCAAGGUAGUAGUCAGUGUAGAAUUCCUCUUGAGCCCUUGGAUAGUCUUACCGUAUAUACUCGCUUUUCCGUCCUUAUGUAUAGCCUUGCAUUCUUCUGCAGUCAUGUCUUGAAUGAGGACUCCCCAUCCAUUUUUGACUUCAGAUAAAUGCGAAUGCAUUCCACAAUAAGUAACAUGAUAAUCGAUCUCAAUAAGACAUUGGUAAAUCUGGACAUCGUAGGUUUCACGUUCCUGUAACACUUGAACUUCCAUGUUGUCCUGUAUACUCUGGGUCUUGUAGUUUGGACAUGGAGAGGUGUCAAUAAGAGAGAUUGAGGUGAUAUUCAGUUCUUUCCCAGCACAAUCAUAAGCUAGCAUAGCAUAACAAAUGUUGGUUGUAUGCCACCAGACUAGACAUACGAUAUACAAAAGCUUAACUGAUGACUGGUGCAUGGUUGACAUAGACCAGGACUCACAAACUGACAAGUACAAAACGAAUUAACGAGUUGGAGUUUUAAAGAAACUUAAUUAUUGUUGUAUCUUAUAAUAGGUAUGUUGUCACUUCUAGCUACUGUGAAAGGCUUGUACAAACUUUUUAAACUCUAUUACAGUCCACUACGAUUACUUGUUUACAGUUUACUCACGGUGGGCGGAGGUGAUGUACAUUCUGUCCAUGGAGGGCGGUAUGUUUAAACAUAUUAUAGUUCUAUGUUCAACCAAUAGAUGUCGUCUGUGGUUGCUUGAAUCGCGGUAUGUUUAAAUUAUUAUAGUUUUAUGUUGAACCAAUAGAUGUCGCCUGUGGUUCCUUGAAUCGCGGUAUCGUUAUGAUUCAAAAAUAGUAUAAGUAUCUCAAUUGUUUUUGUAUUAAAUCGUCUCAGCCUGGG